CGACCGCCCUGUGAGGAGGAGGAAGGAGGAGCCGCUCCCGGCCACGGCGGCAGCACAACCCGCGAGUGCGGCGCCGGCCGCCCGGCGGCGGUUAAGUACGCAGGUGAGAGGGGAGAGGAGAGCACAGUGGAAUGAGGAGAGGUGCAAUCCCUGUUGUUCACAGUAAAGAAGCAAGGUGUGGCUCAUCCCGAAUUUGCCUGAAACACUAUCUCAUGAAAGGACAGCCGGCAACCAGGAAGAAGGUUUAUCAGACGUAACAGUUUCUCGUAGUGCAGUUUCACCGCUGAACAGCAAAUGGAACUGACCCAGAUGGAGACAGGGAUCUGUAAGACCCUCCUCAGAUUUGCAGUGUUUCCUUGCCGCAAAGCGCAUGUCUGAACUGUUUGUUGGGCCCCUGCAGCAAGGCAUGUAUCUCAUUGUGAGACGACUGACUUCAGCUCAUCCUUGAAACCAGCAUCCUCCAGAACUCAGUGAAAUUACAACACUUGUUUCACCAUGUACAUAUACUUGAGUCUUGCUGAACUGGAACCUGAAUAAAGCAUGGGUCCAGCAAGCAUUCCUGUACGUGCUCGAGGAUAACAGUUGACUAAUCAAUUUGGGGAGAGCUGAUGGACAACUGCUAGUGACUGUGACUUUCAGUAAAACUAAUUUUCAUCCUUAAAAUUUUUCGAAUCAUUUCAGUAUGUAUGUCUGUACAUAAGUCACUGUGGCAUACAUACUGCCCUGUUUCUUGCAGACAUAGGAGCUUUGAAUUUUUACUCUCCACCCUCCCACAUUCCGGUGCAAUUCCUUUCCUUAAUGAGCGUGCACACAAAGUGACCUCUGUGUUCCCUUCUGCAAAAUUGCGCACUGUAUCCCUGAACUCUGGA